CGGCAGGCCUAAUACAUGCAAGUCGAACGAGAUUAAGGGGCUUGCUCCUUAUGAAAGUGGCGCACGGGUGCGUAACGCGUAUGCAACCUACCUCAAUCAGGGGGAUAGCCCGAAGAAAUUCGGAUUAACACCGCAUAAAAACACAGGAUAGCAUUAUCUAAUGUUCAAAUAUUUAUAGGAUUGAGAUGGGCAUGCGUGUCAUUAGCUAGUUGGCGGGGUAACGGCCCACCAAGGCGACGAUGACUAGGGGAUCUGAGAGGAUGACCCCCCACACUGGUACUGAGACACGGACCAGACUCCUACGGGAGGCAGCAGUAAGGAAUAUUGGUCAAUGGAGGCAACUCUGAACCAGCCAUGCCGCGUGCAGGAAGACAGCCCUCUGGGUCGUAAACUGCUUUUAUUCGGGAAUAAACCUAUUUACGUGUAGAUAGCUGAAUGUACCGAAGGAAUAA
rnacentral:rRNA from 2 species